AAACCAACCGGGAUUGCCUCAGUAACGGCGAGUGAAGCGGCAAAAGCUCAAAUUUGAAAUCUCCGUAAGGCGAGUUGUAAUUUGAAGAGGGUACUUUGGGGCGGCGCCUUGUCUAUGUUCCUUGGAACAGGACGUCACAGAGGGUGAGAAUCCCGUGCGAUGAGGAGAGCCGUUCUAUGUAAAGUUCCUUCGACGAGUCGAGUUGUUUGGGAAUGCAGCUCUAAGUGGGUGGUAAAUUCCAUCUAAAGCUAAAUAUUGGCGAGAGACCGAUAGCGAACAAGUACAGUGAUGGAAAGAUGAAAAGCACUUUGAAAAGAGAGUGAAAAAGUACGUGAAAUUGUUGAAAGGGAAGGGCUUGAGAUCAGACUUGGUGACUCGUCACUGGGCCAGCAUCGGGUUCGGGCGGCAGGAGAAUGCCGCGGGAAAGUGGCUCUUCUUCGGGAGAGUGUUAUAGCCUAGGGUACUAGUCGCCACGCGGGACCGAGGACUGCGAUUCUAGGAUGCUGGCAU
rnacentral:rRNA from 1 species